UGGGGAAUAUUGCACAAUGGAGGGAACUCUGAUGCAGCGACGCCGCGUGAACGAAGAAGGCCUUCGAGUCGUAAAGUUCUUUUAUACGGGAAGAUAAUGACGGUACCAUAAGAAAAAGCCCCGGCUAACUACGUGCCAGCAGCCGCGGUAAUACGUAGGGGGCUAGCGUUGUCCGGAAUCACUGGGCGUAAAGGGUUCGUAGGCGGAAAUGCAAGUCAGGUGUAAAAGGCAGUAGCUUAACUACUGUAAGCAUUUGAAACUGCAUAUCUUGAGAAGAGUAGAGGUAAGUGGAAUUUUUAGUGUAGCGGUGAAAUGCGUAGAUAUUAAAAAGAAUACCGGUGGCGAAGGCGACUUACUGGGCUCAUUCUGACGCUGAGGAACGAAAGCGUGGGUAGCAAACAGG
rnacentral:rRNA from 1 species